UACGUAGGGUGCAAGCGUUGUCCGGAAUUAUUGGGCGUAAAGAGCUCGUAGGCGGUCUGUCGCGUCUGCUGUGAAAACUCAGGGCUUAACCCUGAGCUUGCAGUGGGUACGGGCAGACUGGAGUACUGCAGGGGAGACUGGAAUUCCUGGUGUAGCGGUGAAAUGCGCAGAUAUCAGGAGGAACACCGGUGGCGAAGGCGGUUCUCUGGGCAUGUCCUGACGCUGAGGAGCGAAAGUGUGGGGAGCGAACAGG
rnacentral:rRNA from 1 species